rfam:Neorickettsia sennetsu strain Miyayama, complete genome.
UCCUCGGUAGCUCAGUUGGUAGAGCAUGUGGCUGUUAACCACAGGGUCGCUGGUUCGAGCCCGGCCCGAGGAG